rnacentral:tRNA from 1 species
GGGCUGGUAGAUCAGCGGAAGAUCGCUACCUUGGCAAGGUAGAGGCCGCGAGUUCAAAUCUCGCCCAGUCCA